rnacentral:lncRNA from 1 species
AAACACACAGCAUACGUUCAUUGCACUAUUUCAAUAUAUAUAUUUGUAUAUGCACAUGAAUAGAGUUUACAUACAUUGGAGUGAUUUUCAUGAACUGUUUUUGUUGAGGUUAAUAAAGAAGAGAGAGAGUGGUUGUUGUGUGUGUGAAAUUCGAGUCGAGGACAGGGGGGAAGCCGAAUGGUGGUGACUGGUGUGUCGGCGGC